rnacentral:rRNA from 1 species
ACAAAGGGCAGCAAGUUCGCGAGGACAAGCAAAUCCCAUAAACCGUGGCUCAGUUCAGAUCGUAGGCUGCAACUCGCCUACGUGAAGGAGGAAUCGCUAGUAAUCGCAGGUCAGCAUACUGCGGUGAAUACGUUCCCGGGCCUUGUACACACCGCCCGUCACACCAUGGAAGUUGGCCACGCCCGAAGCCGUUACUCCAACCCUCGGGAGGAGGACGUCGAAGGUGGGGCUGAUGACUGGGGUGAAGUCGUAACAAGGUAUCCGUACCGGAAGGUGCGGAUGGAUCACCUCCUAAC